UUUAUUGGAGAGUUUGAUCCUGGCUCAGGAUGAACGCUGGCGGCGUGCCUAAUACAUGCAAGUCGAGCGAAUGGAUUAAGAGCUUGCUCUUAUGAAGUUAGCGGCGGACGGGUGAGUAACACGUGGGUAACCUGCCCAUAAGACUGGGAUAACUCCGGGAAACCGGGGCUAAUACCGGAUAAUAUUUCGAACUGCAUGGUUCGAAAUUGAAAGGCGGCUUCGGCUGUCACUUAUGGAUGGACCCGCGUCGCAUUAGCUAGUUGGUGAGGUAACGGCUCACCAAGGCAACGAUGCGUAGCCGACCUGAGAGGGUGAUCGGCCACACUGGGACUGAGACACGGCCCAGACUCCUAC
rnacentral:rRNA from 1 species